rnacentral:lncRNA from 1 species
CCGAGUCCAACCCUGAUGGUUCUAAUGAUUUUAUUGCUCAGUGGCAAAAUAAAUCAAAGCAACAAUAAUCCCAAAGUCACAUUUAAACAUGUCAGUGACUGCUAGGAAGCAGAGGGUAUGGAAUGAAAAUGGAGACUCUUCCCUACUUCCCAUUCCCAGCCUCACCUGCUUUGGGAAAAAAAAACCCACCCCAACUGAAAGGGCUGUCCGAUCCCAAUACAUAAGGGCUCCUUCCUUGUCCCCACUCCCGCUUCUCCUUGCUGCUGCUGGAUUCUGUGCCUUGGACCUUGCCCUGCCACUUCGGAGCCACUGAAA